rnacentral:lncRNA from 1 species
UUUUUUUUUUUUUUUUUUUUAAUCAGGGCUCCUUGGAGAAAAGCUGAUUACAAGAGUGGGGAAAAAAGUAUAUAAGAUAAUCCUAGAGCAUCCUGUAAUGCCAGAAAUCAGAGUGCCCAUCAUCAGUAAGCAAUGGUAAAAAGAAUAGUAAGCCUACAAAUAACAAAUGCUGGAGAGAGUGUGGAGAAAAGAGAACCCUCCUACAUUCUUGGUGGGAAUGUCAACUGGUACAACCACUAUGGAAAAGAGCAUGGAGGUACCUCAGAAAACUAAAUAUAGAAUCACCAUAUGAUCCAGCAAUCCUACUCGAGGGCAUAUAUCCUGAGAAAACCUUCAUUGAAAAAGAUACAUGCACGCCCAUGUUCACUGCAGCAUUAUUCACAAUAGCUAAGACAUGGAAACAACCUAAAUGUCCAUCAACAGAUGAUAGAUUAAGAAGAUGUGGUACAUGUACACAAUGGAAUACUACUUGGUCAUAAAAAAGAACAAAAUAAUGCCAUUUACAGCAACAUGGAUGGAACUAGAGACGCUAAGUGAAGUAAAUCAGAAAGAGAAAGACAAAUACCAUAUGCUAUCACUUAUAUCUGGAAUCUAAUACAUGGAACAAAUGAACCAAUCUACAGAAAAGAAACAAACUCAUGGACAUGGAGAACAGACUUGUGGUUGCUAAGAGGGAGGUGGAGGAAGUGGGAUGAACUGGGAGUUUGGAAUUUGUAGAUGCAAACUAUUGCAUUUGGAGUGGAUAAGCAAUGAGAUCCUGCUGUCUAGCACAGGGAACUAUAUCUAAUCAUUUUCCAUAAAACAUCAUGAAAGAUAAUGUGAGAAAAAGAAUGUAUAUAUUUGUAUAAUUGGGUCACUUUGCUGUACAGCAGAAAUUCAAAGGACAUUGUAAGUUAACUAUAAUAAUAAUAAAUAAAUAAAUAAAUAAACAUAAAAAUAUUGGAGCAUGCAAAAGGACAUAGCAGACAACUGAAAAAGUUUCCAGUAGUCAAGCUGGAAAAUUUUACCAACAAAAUAAGACAGUGGUAUUAGCUUAUAAUCCAAAGUAAAAAAUAAAUCUAUAAACCCAUAUUGAUAUUAGUAAUUGAAAAAAUAAAUUAAAAAGGGAGAAUAAACAAAUCUUCCACAUAUAAAAAUUUCAAAUAAUUAGUGUCAAUACUGUGCCCUCAAGGAGGUAAAGCAUAAAUUCCCACACAUCGGAUGAGGCUGCUCACAAUGACUUCCUUCCAAAAAGUAUAGUAUAGAAAAGGGGAGAAAGAGUGAUUUUUUUUUAUUUAUCUUUUCUGCUGUACAGCAUGGGGACCAAGUUAUACAUACAUGUAUACAUACUUUUUCCUCCCAUUGUUGUGUUGCGAUAUAAGUAUCUAGACAUAGUUCUCAAUGCUACACAGCAGGAUCUCAAUGUAAAUCCAUUCCAAGAGCAAUAGUUUGCAAGAAAGAGUAAUUUUAUAGUAGAGAAGCCCGACAAACACUAAAUCAGCCCCCUGACCAAGGGAAACAUCGACAGGAUAACUCAUGAUAGUGAAAAUGGCAUCUUACCUUUGUGGUCUUACUCCCCAAAACCAAGGGCCACACUCUAAUCAUGAGAAAAACAUCAGAGAACUCCCAGCUGAGGAAUAUUGUACAAAAUCCUUGAGCAGAACUCCUCAAACUGCCAAUGACACCCAAAACUGGGUGCGUUUGAUAAACCAUCAUAGCCAAGAGGAGACUAAGCACACAAAAGGACUAAAUACAAUGUGGUGUCCUGGAUGGGAUCCCCAAAUAGGAAAAGGACAUUAGAUGAAAACUAAGGAAUUUAGAAUAAAUUAUAGACUACGGUUAAAAUAAUACACCAAUAAUGAUUUUUGAAUUGCAACAAACUUACCAUGCGAAUACGCAAACAUAAGAUGGUGAUAACAAGGAAGAAGUGCUAUGGGAAUAGGGGGACUCUGUACUGUCUUAAACUGUAUUAAAAUAUAAAAAUUUUAAAAAGAAAAAAUUAAAAUCAGACAAUUAUAUUGAACCUAAAAAAAAUAGCCAGCAUUACAUUAUUAUUUAUUUUUAUUUUAUAUUAUUACAUUAUUAUUUUUUUUAAUUUGGUAGAGAAUUUGUACAAGAAAUACCUAGCAACCAUUAAGCCUUAUAAAUGCGAAUGUUUUCUUUAUUGCUCCAACUAGCCCUGUUCUAGCUCUUGUACUUGAUUCGAUUUGGUGUUUAAUCUCUUCCUAAAGUUAGAUCCUUCUCAAAGUUGUUCUGCUCUGUUCAAAAACCUCAUCACCCACUUUUAUUUGCCUGCGAGGAAAUCUUACAGAUGUCAGUGGCUUUUACACUCAAUCUACAGUUUCUAUCACGCUAAAUACUCUAUUAUUCAGUACUCCUUGAUUUAUAGCUCAAAGGACAAUUUGCCCUUUCAAUCAGUGAAAAACUAUUUAAAAAGUAAGAGGUCAGUCACAAAUUACAUUAACUUACUAGUGACACAAAUCCACACAUGACAAUUUUUCCCAAUACAAAUUAGAUUACACAUCACUUAUGUCUCUUGUGUUUAGUUCUUUGCCUUCUGAAGUGAGAAUUUACAUAUUUAGUAUUUGCACAAGUGAUUCCUCUUCUAACAAACUUCACCAUACAUAGUCGUUUUUAUGUGGCACUAUUUUAAAAGUGUGAAAGUGCAAAGCAGUCACUUAAUAGUCUUCUAUAUACUCCCAGGAAGUUGUUCUUUUCCUCCUGCUGUAACAUAGGAAGGUGCCUCUCUGAACUGCAGCUUGUUGUGAAGCCCAUGCUUUGGGGGGAUUGACCAUGAAGCAGAAAUGAGAAGAAACAGUAGAAGCAGGUAGCUGAGCUCCGCCUCCAUACAGUUUUGGAAGGAGCUGCUGGCAUAUGGUUAUUUAUCCCAUUCCUCUCUUCUCCGUAUACUCUAGGUUUAUGCCAUAACCUCCCCAUCAGUGUUUUCAGGUCUUACACAUGUAGACUCUGAUAUGAGUAUAAAAUAAGCAUAAUUUAGAAUUUCAUGAUUCUUCCUAAAACUCCUAGAAACAGUGGUUCUUGACCUAGAUGGGGCAGGUGGAAAUACGGAUGAAAAGAGAGAGAGGGAGAAGUUUUACCACUUCUCAAGUGCUCAAAACCAACUUAUCUAUUCCCAAGCCCAGUGGACCUUCCCCCCAGACCAAAUGCUCCACCCUGAGACAACUUGAACCUAAAUCUGGAGUUUAUGAGCCAUUGUUUUAUUCAGUAGGAGUAACCCCUUUUUCCUUCUUAGUAAAGUAUAAAGUGAUGUGGUAAUUUGAUCAGCUCAGUGUUUCUGCUUGUUCAGAGGAAAGAAAAGACUUCCUCUGGUGAUUGGUAAAGGGAAGCAGCCUUAUGUCCAGAUUGAAGCUCUAACU